GGACACCGCCCAGUUGGCCCCUUUCAGGAAAGCGGUUUCUUUUAAGAGUUCCCCCUAUAGGGAGAGGAGUAAUUUUCUCCCCAAAGGACGCAGCGAUUAACGAUCAAGAUCAGCCUGCUACAUGGGCUUUGGGAUGGAGACAAGGAUUGGAAGAAACAGCCCUUUAACGGCGGCAUUCCUGGUCAGAACUAGUUAUUAGUACUCGCGUCCGGACUUCUGAAGUUAAAAUGGAUAGUCUGAAAGCCGGAGCAACUGCGAGUGAAUUCUAGGACCUGGGAAGUGAAGACGGGAAGAAGCCAGAGGCCAUCUUUGCCUCAUACAAGUACAAGGCCAGCCUGGGCUACCAUGAGCCCAUCUAGAAAGAAGGAGGGGGGAGGAGGGGUGGGGAAAAAGAGGGGGAGGGAGAAAAGUGAGGGAGAGGGAGGGGGCAGAUCUGGAAGGCACAGUGCUAAUGCAUUCCUAUGAAGAAGGUGUUGCAUUCCAAAGGAGGUGGGGGGGCGGGGAGCUCAAGUAGUAAGGUUAUAAGGUUUUCAAGAAGAGAACUCUCUGGUGCAGUGCUGUAGUCAAGGCUUGGGUGAUCUAUGGUCUUAGAUGACCCGAACUCAAGGUUAUCUACACAGGAAGAGAAUUAGACUAAGUUAAGUAUUUGCUGACUUCUAGUUCGUUGACAUCCUGAUGACAGUUCCAAAAUGGAUGAGGAGUCGUUUCCUUACUGAGGAGAUAUCUUUGGGAUGGGUAAGUGAGGGGCCUGCAGUCACCCCAGAGGUAGAGGGGUUUGGGGGGCGGGUUGAGAGCCAAGAGUCAACUUAAGUCCAGGUUGAAGGUUUGCCCACACUCCACACUUUCAGCAAAACUGAGUGCUUUUUGUUGCCGAGGGUUUUCACCUUUCCGUAGGUACUAAAAUGUACCUUUGCAAGGAGAAAUAGUUAGGAUUUGCUUCCAAGUAACCCAUGAUUGAAGGGUGGGGUCAAAACAGGAGAAUUAGACACAAAAUAGCAACUUUGGAACUGGAAAUUGGGGAAGGUAAGAGAUGAGUUCCCGUGGUAUUGCGCUUCUCUGUGUGUAAUCUUCCAUAAUGAAACAAAACUCUGGACUGACGAUCUUUAUGAGACCUAAAUUACCUCUUCUAUGUGCUUUCUUAACAUGAUUCAACUUCUGGGGACUAAGUCAGCACCUCAGAUCUUCUUUCCUUUUUUCCCUAUUUUAUUAAUUCUCUUUAAACACACACACACACACACACACACACACACACACACACACCCCAAAACCUUGCCAGAAAUGGAGACUUAUGUCCCUUCAAAAGAAAAUUCUAAGUGACACUGUUUUCCAAGUCUACUCAGCAGGGCACCAAACAGGGUGUACUCUGAGCUCUCUGCUGGAAACAUUUGCCAGAAGCCACUGCACCUUAGGACAAAGUAUUCUUCAGCUUUAAUGCGAUUAAUUGAUUGACUAAAAUUCCAAGACUCAUUAACUUCCCAGUUAACGAGAAUGAAGAUGAUGGCUGCAGACAGAAAAUGCAUGAGUAAGUAUUCAAAGAAUAAUAAAAUAAUACUAAAUAUUGACCUAACUUCUGAGGAAGAAAGAAAUAAAACUGACAAGGCCAACCACAGCCAACACCAAAACAAAUUACAGAUGGGCUAAAAAGUAAAUCAAAAAUAAUUAGGAGGCACUAGAUAUUAAAUGUUAUUUAAUCCUGCAUGAAACUCAAAGGCAGGAACAGAAAGCACACAACGUUUACAUUUUGUGAUUCUUUAAAACUUAGAUAUUCUGCCAAAAGAGGAACGAAAAAGGUAACCAAAAGGAAAAUGGUAAAUGGACAGGGCUUAAGAAUGGGAAAACCAAUUAACUUGAAGAGUUUUUAGUACGUCAUUGGAAAGAUGGCGCCCAAACAGGCUUUUCAAAGAAAAUGUAAAUUUACUGUAAGGGAGCAGGAAACCUAAGAAGAAUAUGUUCAUCUCUAUAAGAAUGUGUUCAGGAAGAUCACUGCAAUUUUGUGUAUGAAGUAACAGUGAGAAAAAAAAUGGGAAUAAAUCUAAGAAUACAGAUUUACAAAACCUUUGCAAAGAAAUGACCGAACUCUUAAAACCCAUGAAUAAGUGGGCAUGUGAUACUAAUAGGAAGAUUAAAUAUAAAAAGAUACAGUCUCUUAGCAGUAACAAAAUGUAACAUUAAUCACAUCUACCCACAUUACACAAGUCCUGAAGGUUAGAAUAGAGAAUAGCCCAGGCAGUUGCAGUGAAAGAAUAGUUCAAAGAGCCAUGAUUCAGGGACAUAGUAUCCUUUCUGUAUCUCUUCCACAGAGGAAGAAACAGUGCCACUAGGGUCACAGAUGGGACGGGCCCAGGAAGCACAGUUUAUCCAGUGACUUCCUGUGAGUCAGGAACAGGUGUUUUCAUUGCUAACAGACACGCAGAGGGCACCAGGUUAGAUUUCAAUUUGAGGCUCCACACAGUCCACCCUGAAAUCCCUACAUAAGCUACAGCUGUACAAUAUAUGGAACUUUCUCUUAUCAUCAAAUUAUUUGGAUAAAGGGACAGAGAAAGUAUAAAAGUAUACAGUAUUAUGCUGACAGAAGGAUGUGUGAGAAAUGUGUGUGUGAUAAUAUAUAUUCAGAAAAAUAUUUAUUAUAAUAAUGUAUUAAAUAAUGUAUUAUCCCUAAUUAUUAUUCUAAUAAUAUUUUCUAAGUAUAACCUACUCAGUCUGUAUAAUGUUACUUCUAUGCAUUUCAUGGCUGACUAUUUGGUAUUGAACAACCAAAUUUUUGCCCAUCUUCCCUAAGUAAAACUAUUUCUCUUGAUUUCAGCAUUCCUUAUCUGCCUAUAGUUCUUUUUGCAGACUUGAGGUUUGUGGUCAUUCCCUCCUGCGCUUGCCAAUUAGACAAUGCUGUUUUCUUUGUUCAGGCAGUCUUGGGGGAAACCAAGGACAAUACCAUAGCCUGUAUGUUCUUGGAGGCUCUUGGACAGUACUCUAUAACAACUCAAAAGAGGGCUUCUCAUGUCUGGUGUUGGUUUUUUAUUUUGUUUGUUGUUUGUUUGUUUUUAAGGUGGUGUGUGGCUCUUGGAGGAAGCAUUGUCAGCCUAGAUAAAAAGAUUUCACUUGAACUAUAGAUGUAUAUUUAUUUAUACAUACAAACUUAUGUGUAUAAUAGCUUUUCAGGUAAAUGGCUAAUAAAUGACCCCUUAUUACUUCUUCAGAUAUCUUUAUUAUUUUACCAUACUUUGUCUGUAUUUAUCUUCCUGCUUCCUAAUUAAAACUCUUGUUCUCAUAUCCUCAGUCAUUUCCCCACAUUUCCUCUCUAUUGUUUCCCCUCAAUCCCUUCCUCAGCAAGGGUACUUAUGGUGGUUUGCAUGUGCUUGGCCCAGGGAGUGACACUAUUAGAAGGUGGGGCCUUGUUGGAGGAAGUGUGUCACUGUGGGGUGGGCUUGGAGACCCUCCUCCUAGUUCCUCCUAGGAUGCUGAAUCUGUUCAUCGCUUCCUUCGGGUGAAGAUGUAGAACUCAGCUCCUCCUGCACCAGGCCUGCCUGGAUGCUUUCAUGUUCCCGCCUUGAUGAUUAAGGACUGAACCUCUGAACCUGUAAGUCAGCUCCAAUUAAGUGUUGUCCUUUAUAAAACUUGCAUUGGUCAUAGUGUCUGUUCACAACACUAAGACCCUAACUAAGACAGCACCUUUUUACUUUCCUAGUUUUCUGCAGUUACACAGGUACUCACAUCUAAUGUUUUGGAACUAGAAGUCUCUGAUCAAAGAGGACAAAUAAUGCUUGUCUUUCCAUGUCUGGGCUACCUCAGUAGAUAUUAUUAUGGAUUCAGGUCCCAUCCAUGCAUUUACAAAGUUCAUAAUUUCAUUUGUCUUUAUGGCUGAAUAGUAUCCCAUGGUUUAUGUUUUCAUUCUUUUCAAUUGUUGGUUGGAAGACAUUUAUUUUGUCUCCAUUUCCUUUUAUAAAUGGAGCAAUAAAUGGGGCUGAGCAAGCAUUGAUGGAGAAGGACAUCAAGUCCUUUAGGUGUGUGUCAAGAAGGCAUAUAGGUGAGUCCUAUGGAGCACGUUUAUUUUUAGAUAUUUUGAGAAUUCUCCACAGCGAUUUUUCACAGCGGCUGCACCAGUUUGAAAAACCCACCCACCAGCAGUAAAUGAAGGACCCUCUUUCCUGUGUCUCCUCCAGCACUUGUUGUCUGUUGUUUUGUUAAUCUUUGCUAUUAUCACCGACAAUGAGAUUAAGUCUCAAAGUUCUUUUGAUCUGCAUUUCCCUAACUGCUUGGGAUGAUGAACAUUUUGAGGUAUUUCUUAGCUACUUUUUUUCUUCUUUUGUGAACUUUCUGAUCAUUUUCCAUGCCAAUUUUUUGAAUGGGUCAUUUUUGCUUUAUAUAUAUGUAUAUAUAUAUAUAUACAUAUAUAUGUGUGUGCAUUAUAUGUAUAUAUACACACAUAUAUAUAGAGGCUGGAUAUUAAUCUCUGACAUGUAUAUAGCUAGCAGACAUGAUCUCCCAUUCUUUGAGCCUCUUCUUCACCUGGUUGAUUGAUCCUUUAGCUGUAAAAAAGCUUUCCAGUUUCCUGAAGUACCACUUGUCAAUAGCUACCCUUAAUUCUUGGGCAAAUUGGGUCCCAUUCAGAAAAUCCUUUCCUGAACCUAUGUCAUGUAAGGUACUGCCUCUUUUCUUCUCCCAGUUUCAGUGUUUCAGAUUUCACAUUGGGGUCUCUGAUCCAUUUGGACUUAAGUUUUGCAGAUUGGUACAUAUGGGUCUAAUUUAAUUGUUCUGCAUGUGGACAACUACUUUUUCCAGCACCAUUUGUUGAAGACAAGUCCUUUUCUCCACACUGUGUUUUUGGCUUCUCUGUUGAAUACAAAGUGGGCAAAGUUAAAGUGUUACAAUGAGACAAGUGUCACACAAUAACAGUAUUUUUAUAAAAUAUGCCUGGUCUCAGUCUGUGCUGAUUCAUCUUUUGUCAAUUCAGUCAAACACAUCUGGAAAAAGAGGAUCUCAGGUGAGAAAAUGCCUCUAUCACUUUGACCUCUAGUCAAGUCUGUGGGGCAUCUUCUUAUGUGGCUCAGCUCUCUGCAGACAGUGCCUCCCCUGGGAAGGUGGUCCCAGGUUGUAUAAGAAAACAGGAUGAAAAAGGACAUGAGGAGAAAUCCAAUAUGGAGUGUUUCUCCAGGCUUUCUGCCUCCAGGUUCCUGCUUGAAGAUCCUGCCCUGAUUUCUUUAGUAUAGAUAUAUUAUGACCUGGGAGCUAUAAGAUAAAAUACUAUCCCCCAAGUUGCUUUCAGAAAUGGCCUUUAUCACUGCAGUAGAAAGCAAACUAAGGUUUAUAUUUUACAGGUAUGUAUUUCUCUAUUAAAAUAUCAAAAAAAAAAUGUGCUUUGGGAUAUCUUCCAGGAAAUGCAUCUAAAGCCAGGUAGUGGUAUAUACACCCUCAAGCUAAGCUGUUGAGAGGUGGAAGCAGUUACAUUGUGUCAUGGUUGGUUACUGGUGCUAUGAUGAAACACUAUGACCAAAGCAACAUGGGGAGGUUAUUUGGUUUCAACUACAAAGGAUCUGAUGCCUUCUUCUGGCCUCUUCAGACACCUGCAAUCAUGCACACACACACACACACACACACACACACACACACACACACACACACACUUAAAAAUAAAUCUUUGAAAGUAGGGUAGGGCCAGGUUGUUACACAACACGGUAGGGCAUUUGCUUAACAUGGGUGAGACUCGGGGUUGGAUCCUCAGCAACUGCAAAAUAAUAAUCAAUAAUCAAUAAUCAAUAAUAACACAAGGAAGACUGGAAAACAUAGGCUUUCACUCUAAUGGUAGAGAAGUUGAGACUUGAUGCAGCUAUAUGGGAAAGCCAACUCCGGGCACCAACAAAAGCAAGGGAAGGGAGUAAGGACUGAACCAAGAAAGACCUAUUUGAAUGAUUGAACUUCAACAACACACCACAAUGAUAAGCAUUUUACACAAUCAGAACAACAAGGACAAAACAGACACUCAAACGUGAUUCCCUGGCUCCCCCAAAAGACACUGAAUAGACUACAAGCAAUGACCUAAGCCAGCCUGAGUCUCAAAAUCUUCCAUGGAGGACUGUCACUUUCUCAGCAAUGUCCUACAAGUUUUGUCUCUACCCACACCUCCACAAACACAUCACAGAGCGACCACCUCAGGAAAAGGGACGUGGAUGAUGAAGGAAUAGAAAAGGAGAACAGGAGAUAAAGUAACUCCCUGAAGCAUCACUCAGAGGCACAGAUGCCUGACAUUGGCAUCUCAGACCCCAGUGUAGUUCCCAUUGCUUUCAAUUUUGGGGCAAAUUCCUUAAUCCAGAGGGAAGCCAUCAGACUAUUACAUGAGCUCCACAUUCUCCAAAAGUGACUUUUCCAAUUUCUGCAGUGGAUAACAUUUAUAGCUGUGUUUGAGUUAUAUUUUCUGUAUAUUCACUGAAAUUAUCCUAUUACAAUCAAGCAUAAGUUACCCUGAAUGCAGAAGGGGGCGUGCUCACUGUCUCUGAGAACUAAGUGCCAGGAAUAUGUUCCAAGGUGUUCAUUUUCUUUCUUUUCAUUUUGAGACAGAGUUGUUGAUCUUAAGAGCUUGAUCCUCCUCUUGCUCCAGCUUCUUCUACCUGUUGGAAUUUACUGACAUGAGCCGCCAUGUUUGAAUUAAUUUUCCUAUUGCAUUUGAAUAGUGAGUAUCACAGAGAAAUAUACUGGAGCUGAAAUCAUAUAUUAACUCAUCCCUAAACAGUCAUUGAUUUCAUAUCGCUAGACAUCUUAUAGGUGAUUGAGAGAUAUUUGUUAAGUGAAACAACUUGAUUAAACACGGUAUUUAAUUUCCGCAGGUAAAACUGUAUUAAGGUGAGUAAGACUAUGACUAUAUUUCAUUCCUUGCCAGAAAAAAUAAUGUAAAGUUUCUUUUGAGAAACGCGGUCAAUUAAUGCCAUCUUCAGACUGUAGUUAUUUAUUCUUAUCAAACAUGGGGACCUUUAUAAAGUAAAGGCACAGACGUGUUUGCUUUGCAAACAAACAUAGGUGUCCAUCUUUCACCACAGGUCCUAUGGUUACUAAAUUAUUCAGAUGCUAUCUGCGAUCACAAACAAAAGGUUUUAAUUAAGCCUACUGGUAGAAGCAUAUAUUUUGUAGGGCACUCACUAUAUUAUUAAUUACUUCAGAGCACCUUUCUAGACUAUCCCACUGUCGAUCAGAAAGACUACCACAGGGUCAUUGUUAUGAAAGAGGCAAAGGAAAAAAAGCUACACCUUCUUGAGAAGUGCAGUACAUACUGAGCAUGCCCAGAGGUUGUUAGCUGUAAAUGAGGAAGGGACCUGGGAGCAAUGGCAAGGGGCCAGUAGGAAGGAAAGAAGGUAGCUAGUAUUCAAGGGGGAAGUGCAAGAGUGUUUACCAGCAAGGUUAAGAGCAGGAAGGGCUGAAAUGUGCUCUUGAGAUUGUGUAACAGAGGUGCUUUACUGGGAACAAUCUGCACCAAGGUGACCCCCAAAAUCCAGCUGGAGCAUACCUGUCCCUCCCCCACUGCACUUAUGUGCGAAUAGCAAGGGACAUGCGAGUGGGUUGGUUUCUGGAUGCUUCGGUUAUUAACGAAGUGUUAUAUUUUACAUUUUAAAGUAACUCUGAAAAGUGUUCUGACUCACUCGCCUCUUGCUAAUUUCUACAUUCUAAUGCCUCCCUUUUUUCUCAAAUGAGUCACCCCCGAAGUACAAGCAACGUCCUUCUAGAAAGAAAAGUAAAAGUAAGUUGCUACAGUUAGAAAAUGUGUUCUUUAAUUGCUCACAGAAAAGAAGCAUUAAAGCAGAAGAGAAAAACCUCUCCCCCUUCCCCCCAUCAAAAGUGAACAUUUGCUAUUGACAUUCAAAAUGUAGGAACCACAGGAGCGGGCUUCAAAUCCCACAGAACUCAGGGAAUGGGUGAAGGUUAAAAUGAACCAAAUCAACAGAUAGGACCAAAAGUAAUAGAAUAACUUUGAAAAGAAGCCACAGUAUCCAAGCCAAAACAUACAGUCUUAAAGAGUUUAUUUAUUUUUAUUCUAUGUAUGUGUUUUGCUUGUAUACAAGUUUAUGUGCCAUCUGCAUCACUAGUCAGCAAGAAGGGCAGGAGAGGGCAUUGGGUCCCAUGGAACAGGAGUAACAGAUGACUAUGAGCUUCCCUGUGGGUGCUGGGAAACAAACCUGUGUCCUUCGCAAGAACAGUGAGUGUUCUUAACUGCUGAGCCAUCUAUCUCUUCAGGCUUCGAGACCCUGUAUUUACUGAUUCAAUGCACAGACAUAUCUGAAGACCAAAUGCACUUAUCUGGGAGAUGUUGAACCAGGAAAGCACAGAGAACAACCAAAGAGACAAGUUUGGAAUAAUGCUCACUUGAGAAAACCACCACUACGAUUAAUUUAGACUGAGGGAAGCAAGAGAACAUGCCUUGACAUGGAUUCUCAACCGUCUGAAAAAGUCACCCUAUUAAUAACAUGGAAGGACAGAUCAAUGAAUUAACAGUUAUGACAAUAUUCUAUUAUCAAUCUGCUAUGUCAUAUAUGAUGGUGCACCUUUAGUCCUAGCAUUUGGAAGGCAGGGGGAGGCAAAUCUAUGAGUUUGAGGCUAGACUAAUCUAUAGAGUGAGUUCUAGGGCACCAUGGCUACAUUAUGAGACCCUCUCUCAAAAAAAAAAAAAAGAAAAGAAAAGGAGAGAGAGAGAGAGAGAGAGAGAGAGAGAGAGAGAGAGAGAGAGAAAUCCAUUACACACUAGACACUAGCAGAAGUUGACAGAAUUGACAUGUAGGUAUACUGGGAUGCUCAGUGUUGUGGUGAAGCAGAGGUCACUCUGAAAAUACAUUAGGAAGGAAAGAAAACACUUCAAAUGCUGACGCAAAAUGAAAGAAAGGCUUCUUCUAACCAAUAUGUCUGGCAACGCUUGAAGGUAAAAGAGAGAGAGAAGGAAGCCUGAAGCUCAGUAGUGGUUUAGUACAGCUAGAGGCAGAAAGGAGUGAGAGUCAGAGAGUUGUUACAAGUCCAGUUCCCCCAAGGUUCACUCUGCUCGGGGGAGUGGGGGAGCGCUAGGCUUGCACUGUGUCAUCGUAUUCUUUGCCAACAUUUAACAGAGGUGCUGGUGGUCAUCUAGGAGCUUGUCAAGGGAGGGGAUGGACAGAGAGAUGAGAGAGAGAUGGAAGACUGAGACGCAGAGAAUGUUGCUACGCUUCACGCAACCAGUGGACACCAGAUGUGAAGCAGGCUGGGGAGGGUGAAGAGGUACCAGUGAAUUGGGUAUGAUUUUCUAGGGCAAUCAGCCAUGUGUAUAAAUUAUAUGUGUAUGCAUUACAAAGGGGAUUCAUUAGAAUGGCUUACAGUCCACACGGGCUGGGAAGUCCAACAGUGGUCCUCUUCACCCUGGAAAGCCUGAGAAGUUACUGCACGGGUUACAAAACUGAUGCCCCAGCUGUCCCCACCUGACAUGGAGGGUCCGAAGGAGUCCGAGAGGAUCGCUGGUAUUCCAUCCAAAAUAUUCGCCUAUUAGUUCUUUCUAGAUCUAAUAUAUUGGUAAUCUACAUCAACCAGGAGACUAAGAGGGGAAACGUGGCUACAAAUAAGUUUUCAAACCACCGAACAACAAUAAAUAAUUCAGAGAAUAAAGAGGGAAAUAUUACAGCCUCCUGGAAAGUACACAGUAGGAAAAGACCAGUACCUAGCACAGUGCUCUGUCCAAGAUCAAGCAAGGGACAAGCCAAUCUGGUAUCUGCUGAGGUCUCACUCAUGACUGCCUUCUUGCUGCAACCAGACAGGGUGGAAGGGACAAAUGUGUCCUCGCAUGGUAGAAAGGAUGGCGGGGCAUCAGUUUUUAUCUGUAUUUCACCAAGGGGUUUUUCUAGCUCAUCUCUUUAGAUACACAAAGACCAUUACGUAAUCACUGGCCGUGCCGUCGCUGCUACAGCAUACGGUACAGGUGUUCAGCCUCAGAACAACUGACAGUUUGAACCACACAGCCUAGCUGUGCUAUAGGCCGGGCCAUCUAGGUGAGGACGCUAGUGUGAACACAGUGACAAUGUCCAUAGUGACAAAGUUCUUGGGCAGAUCCCCGCUGCUAGUGAUAGUUAUAAAUGGUUUAAGCAACCUCAGACUUAGCGACAAAGUGUUUCAGGAUUUUUGUCCAACCUAGUACAGUGGUUCUCAACCUGGGAGUUAUGACCCCUUGGGGAUGAAGGACCCUUUCACAGGGGUCACCUAAGACCAUCGUAAAACACAGAUCUUUACAUUAUGAUUUAUAACAAUGGCAAAAUUACAGUUACGAAGUAGCAGUGCAAAUAAUUUUGUGGUUGGGGGUCGCUCCAGCAUGGGGAACUCUAAACUAUGUCAAAGGGUCCGAGCAUUAGGAAGUUCGAAAGCCACUGCCUUAGAAAGUACUGAAGACGGAAUUUAAAUCUGCAAUGUUAUCACUUGAAGAUGGUCCUUUCCAGCAAUGCACAGUCAUCACAACUGCAAUAGACGCUAUCUCACUCGGCAGAUAGCUUUACAGAAAGAACUAAGAUUAGUCUAACCCUGACUCAUUGUAGAUGCCUGCCUUAUUCCAUAAUCAAUUUGAUUUCUUAAUGCAGACUCCCUUUCAAAAUAUUAAGUACUAAGAGCGAGCCUAAAUUGAGCGUAGACGUUUCCUCUUUCAUAGCUCACACAGAAGUGGACCUGCACUACUGAAAUGGGUGUAUUUGAUAUUGCGAUAAAGGAAGUGAAGCUACAGUGGGACCAGGAAGAGGCUCUUCAAGAUAAGGACCAUACUAGGAACUUGUUGCCCUCCUCCAUAUAUGGCUUAUAAAAACCCUUCCCUGCUCACUGAGAUGUAAGAGAGCGAAUUCCCAGAUCCGAGAUGCUUUUCCUAGUGAAUCAUAGUGGUGUUGUGUACACAAAACAUGGCAGGAGAAAGAAAUGCCUUCAGAAAGCUUGGGGAGGGUGAGUGGUCACUCAGCAGCCCAAGCAAGUUCUCUAGCAUUACUGUGCACAGCCUCAGCAGCCUGGACCCUGGUGACCUUACAGACACACUGUACCCAACGCCUCAUCAUUAAUGACAUGAUCCUCCUUUCUCCUCUGUUCAUGGGCAACCUUCUCUCUCCAGCCCUGUCCUGGAGGAACAGUGCCCGAUGUGGCUCCCUCCACUUGAGUGACUUGAGUGAAAUAGUCUCCUGUGUCUCCUGUGGCCUCUCCUUGUCAUCAAGUCAACUUCUGGGAGUUGGUUUCCUUCCACCGUAUGGAUACUAGGGAUCAUAUUCAGGUCAUGGGCUUGGUGGCAACUGUCUUUACCAGCAAAGCCAUGUCACUGGCUCCCAAUCUGCAUAUCAGACAGGACAGUAAGCAGGGAUACUUGCUGAAUCCAUAUGUUGUUUCAGACACAGUGCCAGUCGUUCAGAAUUAAAAAGAAAAAAAAAUACUUUCUUAAUUGACCCGAUUACAAAUUUAGCAGAGAAAACGUAUUGUGCUUAAUCCCUGUGUGCUGGUUUGCCUGGCUGCAGGCUGUAAGUACCAGCGUAUGUGCCAGGCCAGCCAAUGUUCAUCCCAAAUGCUGGCCACUUAGAAGUCCUUCACCAAACAUUGUCCAACAAACAAGUUCAUUGCAGAAACUUUAAGGAAUUCUCUUUUCUUUUUACCCUUUUUAAUACUUAAAAACAAUCUUAGAAGCAGGAGCAGAUUUUAGAGAGCACCUUCAGUCGUUAUAAACAUUGUCUAUUUUCAUGAAAUCAACUGAAUUCUAACUCCAAACGCCUUUGCCACCGAGCUGGCAGAUGAUUAAGUCUGGUCAGUUAGGAGCUGGACCCUUCUCAGGCACCACUGAGUCGGGCAGGUCCAGCUGAGAUACAGGAAAUAAAGAACUCACUUGUCUGUCAAUCUGCUCUAAGGUUGGGGCUGUCCUGUCAAUCUCUGCUGUGUAGGAUUCAAAAUUCUGAGCCAAUUGUCAGAAGCCACCUCCCAGAGUCCAUCCCCAAAACACCUGGACGGAUUUGCUUCCUUUGGUCAAUACUAUACACCUCCCUCAGUGGAGCCUCUUGGACCUACUUCUGAGUGAAACCAGAAAGGGGAAACUUACUUCAACUUUUAUUAUAUCUUUAUGUUUAUGCAUUUUGAUUCUGGAAAUUACCCAGUUUAAAAAUAGGUCUGUUGGCACACACAUCUGUAAUCUGAGAACGUGGGAGGCUGAGCCUGGGAUAUGGCUACAGAUGUACAUAGAAAGAAAUCUGGGUUCCCCAGCCCUACACACACACACACACACACACACACACACACACACACACACACACACACACACACACACCUCAACCAGAUUGAUUAUUUUACAGAAGACAGAUAGCCCACUCAGAACAAUACAGCUCAGAGCUCUAACAACUUGGACCCUGAUGUUUUACGCAGAAAUAGAAACCCUGACUAAAACAUCUUGUCAACUAAACCUAUCAACAUAUGAAAUUUUAAAUGACUUAAACAUAACUCAGUAGCAGAGGCUUCCACCUUGCUAAUAGCUGAGAUCCAGGUUGCAAGGGAUAGGAGGAUUCCAAGGAGUGUCCUGCAUGUUCAAUGUCAUUGGGUAGAAAAGUGUCUCAUCCAGCUGGACUGAUAACCCACAGUGUGAAGCAGAGUUUGAGCCUGGCAUUUAGAGGAAUCUUAGGAGCAAGCCCUGGGUUCAAAGGUCAUCUCAAAGCACGCUUUACACUCUUGAGUGGCAUGAAGUGUGGUGGUGCACCCUUGCAAUGCAGACAAUGGUGGCCUUUACAGUAGCAGGAUGUCUGCAAGCGGUAGAGGUACACACCAGUGAUACUAGAACUUGGAAGGCUGAGGCAGGAAGGUUACAGUUCAGCGGCUGCCUGGGCUACAGUAGUGAGUUCCGGGCAAGCCUGAGAUGUGAGAGCUUGUCUCAAGAAACGGAACCACCGAACCAAUAACAUCAUAAUUAUACAGAGAAUAAAGUUAUUUACCAGGAUACGCGGUGGACUAGGGGGUGUGGCUUAGUGGGAGACACUUGUUUGGCACACGCGGAUUUGAUACUCAGAACCACCAAGCAAGACAAGGCGUGGCAAACUUGAUUUGGGGACUUUAUAUUCAUUUAUAUUUGCUUAUUCAGUUAUCUACUCUUUUGUCAUGGACGAACCUUCCAAGCCUCAGAGAUUCCAUUUUGGAGAAGUGACAUGGCUAAGGAGCUUAUAAGGACGUCUGAAUGUGGCGGUGUACCCUUGUCAUCCAGUACCAGGGAAACCAAAGUGACAGAAAUGCAUGCUCAAGACAAAGCUGGGUGACAAGUUAAGACCCCAGCAAGCAAAGAAGAAACAAUGUAUACAUUCUGUUUGCUCUGCCCUGCUUGCCGUAUGAAAACUAACCAAUAGGGAGGACUCCUCCAGAUCAACACCAGCUUGAUUUCUCUGUGUCCUGUGACCUGCAUGUGUGAUGUCUUCAGCAAGAGGGUUUUGCCAUCCAAUUCUGGUGGAUAGCCAAGGACAAUGAAAGUAGCCUUAUUGUUUGGAUGGUCUCUGGGACAACUCUGACCAACGACUGAAAGGGAGUUAUUUGACACCUGGCAUGGGGAAUUAUCUUGCAAUUGUGAUAUCUGGGAGAAACAUUAUUCCUCCAUCCAUAGUACCUCUAUUCCAAUCCCAAUUUUUUUUUAAAUUGUGUGUUUUCAUGAGUGGCCUAUUUGGGUUUAUACUACUGUGAUAAAGCACCAUGACCAAAAGCAACUUAGAAUCUUUUAAAAAUGGUUUAUUUCAUUUACACAUAUCACAGUCCAUCACUGAAGGAACACAGGGCAGAAACUCAUGGCAGGAACCUGAAAGCAGGAACUGGAGCCAAAACCAUGGAGGGGUGCUGCCUCCUGGCUUCCUCGCCAUGUCUUGCCCAGCCUGCUCUAGUUCAUCUAAAGAAGCAAGUGUGGUAGAAAUUUUUUUAAACAUUGAAAAUAAAGAAAUGAUGGAAGAUUUGGCCUACUAAAUAUUACAUUUCAUAAGAAAGUAGAAAUAGAAAAAGAGCAGACAGCACUGCUGUAAGGAGUGUUGGCUAAGGGAAUGAAGUCAAUAGAUCUAAAACACAUUAGAUGUCUGUGAGGACGUGCGGCCACUGAGGAAGUAUCAUUUGUCAAUGAGGAAGAAAUGGCUUAUUAAAUGUAAUUUUGAAGAAAUCACAAAUUAUUACAAAGGUCAAGUUCCUCAAAUUAAAGUAAACAUCACAAUCGCUUUCAGGUAGAUGAAGGAAUCGUGUGUAAAACAGAAAAAAAAAAGGUAGAAGUGCUUUCUGGGUAAAAAUUUUAAAGUUCCCCAUAAAGAUUACUACUCCGUAUUAAAUGGAGUAAAAAAAAUUAAAUUUUUUAAGUUUGUGCAUAAAAAUAGGCUAAAACACUAUCUCAUAAAGAGCAUAUUUGCAAACAUUAUCUCGCAAGAGUAUAUUUGCAAAUUACACGGUAGUCAGGGCCUAUUAUUCUCUUACUUGUUUUUUCCUGUUUGCUUUGCAUCAACAAACACAUCCUAAUUUCCUGCCAAUACUGUGUAAGAAUUGGAGGGCCAUGGCAGCUUCCAUUGCUACAGUGAUACCUGGGAUACUUUUGUCAGUCCUAGAGGAAAUGUGUCCUCUGUUACCCUCCAGUUGUUGGAUUUAGAAAGGCUGGAUUUAAGAACCCACUAGCUAUUCUUGCUGGUGUCCUUGGGUGAGAAACUUGCGUGGUCCUAUUUGGGGACUCAUCUGCUUUGUCACUGCCUAGGAAGUAAAGAGAUCAAUUGAAUGAUUAAUUACAGUGCAGUAAUGUGUGCUGGCUAGUUUUAGGCCUCGACAAGUUAGGAUCACUUGAAAAAAGGCCUCCACUAUAUUGGCUUGGGGGCAAGUCUCUGGUACAUGUUCUUAAUCAAUAUGAUUGAUCUGGGAGAUUGGUGUGUAUGAGAAAUAAACUCUACUGACAAGAGGGUUGGGGUGGGGGAGGAUUACAAGGAGAUGUUCCUGUUUCAGUUUGAUUUUGUGAGCCUGGACCUCAUGUAGUCCCAGCUAGCUCCAGAUCACUUUACUCCUGCUUUGGCCUCUUGAAUGCUGGGACUACAGAGUCAUCACCACACCAGCAUAGGCAUAUUUAGAGGUGACAGAAACCUUCUAAACUUUACUAUGGCAGUGGCUGAGCGGACAUGUGGAUGUACUGAAAACCGCUGAUGCGCGAAGUGGGUGAGUGGGAUGUGUCCCAGUUUGCUUUCUGUUACUGUGAAAAACAUCCGGGCCCAAAGUAACCUGGGGAGGAAAGGGUUUAUUUGGCAUACAGGUUACAGUCCACUACCUAGGGAAGUCAACACUGGAGCUCAAGGUAGGAACCUGGGUGUAGGAAGUGAAACAGGGGCUAUGGAAAAUUGCUGCUUACUGGUUCUCCUCAUGGCUUGCUUGGGCUUCUUUUUUAUCCAGCCCAGGGCCAUCUUUCCAUGGAUGGCCCCACCCAGUGUGAGCUGAGCCCUCCCACAUCACUUAGCAGCCAAUACAAUAGCCCCACAGACGUGCCCAUACUCUUACUAGGUGGUCAGCACAGUGUGGUUUGUGAACUGUAUGUCAAUAAAACUAUUUUUAAAGAUGCAUGUAUGAUAAAAAUGAACGUGUGAAACAGCACAAAAGGAGAAAGGACGUAGCAAAAACUUCCUAAUCGUUAACCAGCACCAUGAAAUAAACUAGAAUGGUGCUUUCAGCUUUAAACUGCUAAAACGAGACAUGAAGGUAGGUAAUCAGCUGGAAAAGAAAUCUACUGGGACACAGACUCUCAGAGGUUUCAGUCCAUGGUUGUUAUAAUCUCUGAUUCUGCAAACAUAGCUACAGAAAAAACUGCAACCUUCAUGAAGUCUGGAGAUAAAAAGAGAAAGGAAGGGCUGAGUCCCCAGUAUCCCUUCAAGAGUGCACCCCCAAUAACCUUACUUCCUUCUACAAAGACCUCCGUCCUAAUGCUGGGACCCUUUACAUGUUGUGAUAACCCCCACAUUGUUACAUCAUAACUGUAACAUUUUGCUACUGUUAUGAAUUGUAAUGUAAAUAUCUGAUACUCAAGAUAUCUGAUAUGUGAACUCUGUGAAAUGGUCCUUCAAAUACCAAAGGGGUCAUGACCCCCAGGUUGAAAACUGCUGUUCUAAAAGUAACAGCUAGAUAGAGUAACAGCUCGAUGGAGACCUUCCUUCCAAACAAGAACCUUUGGGAUACAUGUAAGAGCCAAGCCUUGAUAGACAAUGUGUACAUGAUACUGUAUAAUGUGACUUGAGGGCAUAAGAUACUGUUAUUUGUGUUCAACUAAAUUGUUUCUGCAACACAUUUAACUACUAAUUUUAUAGUUAAAAGAAGAUACAUAGUAGAAAAAUGUUAAGCUCUGUUUUUUUUUUAAUCAAGAAAACAUUUAACAGUAUGAUUUUCAAAGAAAAACUCAGGUCCUAUAAGUGAAAAUAUUUAUGUUCCUUGACUUUCUCUUUUAUUUACUUCCUCUUUAAAACACAAGUAAUAUAUUCAUGGUGUGCACUUCCUGUGGUAAUCCACAGCUAUUUACAAUUUUAAUUUCUCAUGUCACUCAUUCCUAGGGUGGGAGCUGAGUGAUAGUCAUCUUUGAAAAGCCUUUCUCCUUGCAAUCUGAACUUGAAAAUCAAAGGGAUGAUUCAGUCAUCACUGCCAUAAACAUUAAGCAAGUUAUCUUUGAGCGGCUGAAUUACUUGGACUGGAGAAACACUAUAAAUAUUUCUAAUACAUCCUUGAAGUCACAACGGUAGAUUUUUUUUUUCCAGGCAGACCUUCCUCUCAAAGCAUAGUGUCAGCAAUACAAAUACAGUGUUGGCCGUUAUGCUUGGAUGGGAAGGUGUCCUGGAACUCUGAAGCCCCAGCACCACUCAACUCUAAGGUAGGACAAUGUUCCAAUGGAAGGACAACCUGAGACACAGGAACCACAUAUCUCUGAGAGGAAGCCUUCUUAGCAGAGGCAGUGCUGCUCCCAGGAGAAGAUAUCUGGGGCUGAGCUGAGGGACUCAAGAACCUCAGACCCCAUAUUUAUUUUCUCUUCUUCCCUUCUUGUCUUCUGAUGAGAGAGUCACAUCAGUCAGUAAAUCUCAUAAAAGAGAUUUACUGGAGGGUCGGGGUUGUGGAAAGCCGAAUCCAGGAGUGGCUGCCCCUGCUCCACAGAGAAAGCAGACAGCUGAGAAUUGGACAGAGUGCUGUGCUUAUACAAGGGGUGGAGCACUUGGGGGUGGAGCUUUCUAGGGUAAAAGUUUCCAGGGUGAGGAUUCAUGGGAUUUCAAGUCCUGACCUUGGGGCAGCUCAGGGAUUGGUGGGUUUUCCUAUUCAGAGAUUAGUGGCUUUUGUUCACAUUUUUUACCUAAAAUUAGCAUAAUCUGGGGAGGGUCCUCUUGAGGGGCUGGAGCCUGACCACUUGGCUGCCUGAAUGGUUUACAAAGUGUACAAAGUUUACAAUGGAGUCCGCAGUCGGGAAGCCUUCCCUACCAUCUGAGUGACACAAAUAUCCACAUAUAUUCCUAAAUACAACCUAUGACCUGCUCAGUCAGUAUAAUGUUGCUUGCAUGGCAUGUAUGUUUUUAGGGCUAGCCUUUUGGUGUUGAAUAGUCACUGGCUAUACCAGUUCCUGGCGAAAACUAUUGUGGAUGAUAGUUUUGCUGAGUACAGUAGUUUGGGCUAGCAUCUGUGUUCUGACAAAAUUUGUACAACAUCUGUCAAGGCCUUUCUGGCUUUUGGUGUCUCCAUUGAAAAGUCAGGUGUUUUUCUAAUACGUCUUCCUUUAUACGCUUAUGCUUCUGACCUUUUCCCUUCCAUCAUUUAAUAUUCUUUCUUUUUUCUGUACAUUUAGUGAUAUCAUUAUGUGUUUUGUGGAGUUUCUUUUCUGGUCUAAUCUAUUUGGUGUUCUGCAUGCUUCUUGUACCCUUAUAUGCUACUCCCUCAGAUUAGGGAAAUUUCUUCUGUGAUUUUGUUGAAAAUGUUUUCUGUGCCUUUGGCCUGGAUUUUUUUUUCUCUUACCGCUAUUCCUAUUAUUCAUAAUUUUUUCUAUAAUGUCUCAGACUCCUUUUUUUUAAUUUAAUACUUCCCUUGACUGGGUCUUUCAUUUCUUUACCUUGUUUUCAACCCCUCCAAAUUUCUAUUUCAUCCCCUUUUCUCUUCCAGUUCUAGUUCAAUUUGUGUUUUCUUUGGCGACCCUAUUUCUACUUCCGUGUCUUGAAAUGUUUUGUCAGUUCAUCGCGUUGUUUUGUUCUCUCACAGAGUUCAUGGAGGGAUUUAGUCCUAUACUCCCUAAGAAUCUUUAGGAUAUUCGUAACGGUCUUUCUGAAGUGCUUGUCUUGUGCUUCAGGUAUAUCGCAUUUCUGUGGGCCUACUGCAGUUGGCUUACUGGGUUUUGGUGGUGACAUAUUGUCUUUGAUGGUAAUGGUUGUGUUUAUGUGAUGGUGUCUAGGCAUCAGAGAUGAGCAUGACUGGGAUGCUAAGUGUUGAUAUCACCUUCUUCCCUUUGUUGGAGUGUUCCAUCCCUAGGUUUCUGAGGGCCUCUCUGGAUCUUAGGGAAGUGAGGUGGCUAUGGGUCACCUGAUAGGGAGAGCUUCUGCGUGCUGGAGGAUAACAGAGGGAACUAGGGGUGGUUUAGGGAAGAAUGUUGAAAGAGGCUUCAUGAAAGAGCUGAGGGGGAUUCUGUUCACAUCAAGAGGUGGUGUCCACGGGGAAUUGGAGGUGUAUCUGGAGGAGGAGAUCCUGGAAGUAGGGCACAUUACAUCACAGAAUUAUUUGGAGAGAUGGGAUGAAACGGCUUAAAAGGGUCCUGGGUCUGCACGGAGAGUUGGAGUCUCCAGAGAAUGAAGUUGAGGUAGGAGGAGAGGGCAUCUGCCAGCAAGCUGUUACCAGGGUGAGGGUGAGAAUGGAAAGAUGCUAAUGGAGGACAGGAAGUAUAAUGUGAAUGGCCUGGAGUAGUUUCUAGGUGUGGUACUGGGGGACCCAGGUAGAAGAUGGUUUUAGGUAUUUGGCGGUGACAUGAAGGAAAGGGAGUGGACAAGAAGCGGGGCUGAGAACAUCUUCAGGGGACUGCGGGUGUCUUCCGAAAGGAGGAAAGCUAGGUCCACCACAAGAUUCAGUGGAGCCCUCAGGGAACCCAGGCAGAGUAAGAGGACAGGCCUCUGUUGGUAAUCUGCUAUAGGACUGGGAACACGACUGGGGAAUUGCAAGGGAGGGCAGGCAGGAGCGUGAAGAUGGCCUGCCUGCUUCCCUGGACGAAGUUUGGUUUUCACAUUGGUGUCCCACAUUUCCUGAGUGUGUGUGUGUGUGUGUGUGUGUGUGUGUGUGUGUGUGUGUGUGUGUGUGCGUUCCAUAUUCUUUGCUUGGAUGGUCUAGGUCUUCUAUUUUUAUCUUUAUGUCCUAUUAUUAUAUGUUGUGUUUGAUACAUUUGACUUUUAAGGAUUUCUCUUUUAAUUUUAUUUUUGAUAUUAUAAUUGCAUUCCUCUCCCUUCCCUCCCUCCUUCCAAACUUCCCCAUAUUGCCUUCCCUCCUCUCCUUCGAUUCAUGGCCUCUUUUCCACUAAUUAUUAUUGCAUGAUUAUAGAUGAAUGCCUAGAAAGAUAGAUGGAUAGAUAGAUAGAUAGAUACAUACAUACAUACAUACAUACAUACAUACAUACAUACAUACAUAAAAUUAGAGGCUUUGGCAGAAAAUUUUAGUAAGAAAUCAAUACCCUAUAAGCAAUUCUUCACUGACCAAGUAUUAAGGGUUACUCACUACCUAUAAGUAGACCUGUUUGAUGUGUUGCUGUUGUUGUUGUCAUUGUUUCAUAAUUCAUUUCUAUCCCUAUUCUUGCUGCCUGUACAUCAGUAUGCAUUUAUGUACUGUGAAGGAAGGGAUGGGCGGAAAGAAGAGACUGGAAGACAUGAGGGAGGAGAAGGAAUCGGAAGAAAAGAAAUAUCGGGAACCCACUACUGUCUCAGUCUAUCAUCUGCUAAAUUUAAACUCAAACAGUGGUGGGAGGCAGGAGCUCUGCAGAACUCAGCAAUGCAGAAGGAAAACUCUACAGAGGGGCCGACCUCUCGGUCACCCCGCUCUCAGUUCCUAUGUCUUUACUGUCCCGUUUGGGAUACAGAAGGAGCGAAAGCGUUGUCAGCCCAGAGGACAAAGAACAAAGGAAAAUGUCACACACUUGGAGUCCUUAUCUUAAGAAAACGUAGCUUUGUGAAUUACCUCUGGGUGCAUGAUGACCACAGAACAAAGGCAGACUAACAGUUCACAUUUGCCCACGGUAGCCUUAACAAAGCGAUGUUUUCAAACAUGAGCCACAACCUCAUGGGUGUGAAGAAAUCAGUCUUAGUCCAGUAAAAGUGCUUGCCACUGAGGUUGGAGACAUGAGUUUAAUCCCAGAACCCACAUAGAGAAAGGAGAGAAACAAGUCCUGCAAGUAGUUCCCUGACCUCCAUAGCAUGCCACGGUGUGAACUCUGUCUGUCUGCCUGUCUGUCUGCCUGCCUGCCCCUCUCUCUCUCUCUCUCUCUCUCUCUCUCUCUCUCUCUCUCUCUCUCUCUCUCCUUCCCUUCCUCCCUUUGUCCCUCCCUCUCUUUUUCUCUCUCUCUCUUUUUCUCUCUGUCUCUGUCUGUCUCUCUGUCUGUCUCUCUGUCUGUCUCUCUGUCUCUGUCCCUCUGUCUCUGUCUCUCUCUGUCUCUGUCUCUCUGUCUCUGUCUCUCUGUCUCUGUCUCUCUGUCUGUCUCUCUGUCUCUCUCUGUCUGUCUCUCUGUCUCUCUCUGUCUCUGUCUCUCUGUCUCUCUCUCUCUCUCUCUCUCACACACACACACUCACAAUACACUGAUACACACAUGAAUAAAUGUAAAUCUGAUUUUAACAAAAAAAAAUCAGUUUGAUAGGUUGUGACUAAGGGGUUUUUGCUAGUUAGUUCAUUUUGAUUUUGGCCUUUUGAGUCUCCAUGCAACUGGGAUGAUCUGCUGAUGGCUCCCAUGCCUGACCAGGGGAAGUUUAGUUUUAUUUACUGUUUCUUUGCUUUUAAAACUGCAAAGAAUAUUCGAUCUGGCCACAGCCACACCUAGGAAAUCUGGGACUAGGAUCCAAAGUACCCAAGUUCUUGCCACAUGCUUCUUUAUUACCACACCAUCCAUCUGCAUUUGUCUGGUUCCCUUGGUUGAUAGCCUUCUUAACUGUGGACACAAUGGCUAAAUGCACCGAUAUUGUUAUUUAUAGCUCCUUUAAAUUGUUUUGUCACCUUGUAUCUUGUUUGUGGAGACAAUGACUACACCUAACCCAUACUAGCUCUUACAGGCAAAUGUUACCCUUUGUCGAAAAUUCAUGUGUGAACCUCUACAUUUCCUGGAGAAGGCCUGUGAAGGGGGUCAGUAGAUUGUCCUCCGUUCCACUCACGGAAUUCUCCUUGAGUCCUUAACAUAGCUCAACCGGUAUGGUUAUGAUGAUAGGAUGCAGAGGGAGAGGAGAGAAGCUAAGGAGAGACAAAGAGAAGAUUCAACCAGAUACAGCCAGAAAGCCCCAUGGAAAACCACACUGCCAAAACUCCUUUUGAUUUCCCACCACUGUUAAGACAUUAAGCUUGUAAUGGAAGCCUUUAUCAAACCAUUGACAAGCCAGACCUAGUGCAAUCUUAACUGCUCAGAAUGCUUAGGUGGGAGGAUCACAAAGUCAAAGCCUACAUGGAGAACUUAAGAAGUUCCUGUUUCCAUUUUUAAAAUAAUAAUGAUAAAAAUACGAGUUUUAAGGGCUGGAAUGUUGAUCGGUGAUAGAUUGUUUGCUUCGCAAGGACUCAAUAGAAACCCUGUAUUCAAUCUCCAGUCCAGCAUUAGUCCUCGAGCAGAAAGGGUUUCCUAUUGUUAUCGCUGUCCUUACAAAAUAUUUUCUGGGUGUCCCCCACGUCUGAAGAUCACUUCCUUUUUAUGUGUAAUUAUAUUUGCUUCCUGUUUAUUUCCAGUUAAUAAAGAACUCCCCAAAGAGAAUGGGAACCUAUUUCAAUAUAGAGGUGCUUGGAAUACCUUAGGAUUCGAUAAAUAUUUAUUGAAUGAAUGAAGCCACACAGUCAAUGUAGAAGGUGUGACAAGCAACUUUUCCAAAUAUAGAGGAGAUGAUUUAAGCUCUUCUUCCACAUCCUUCCCUGAGUUCAUGUCCCGGUUGAUAUAUAUUAGAAAAUAUUAUUUUUCCUUCCUAAAUGGCAAAAACAUGUUGCAAAGAUGAAUAGGCCAAGUGCAGCCCAAGAAUGUGACCACAGAAGACUUGAGUAAGCAUAGACGCCAUACUAUAGUGGGAACCAAAAUGGUUUCACAUGUGGACCUACCUGGGACAUAGGACUGCUUAAUGAGCUUUUUACACUCAUCACAUUGAUACAUCCAGUACCUCAAUGCCAUCUCUACGAACCUCCAAUCCAGUCCUGGAAAUGUGAAGUUAGUUCUUGCAUGUACCAAAGUUCAAGUUUCUUACACGGGGCAUGUUCUACAAAAAAAAAACUUUUCCUGGGGAGACAUACCAUGCGCAUCUACUCACGCUGGAGAGAGAGCCCAUGACAGACUAAUGUAAAAUAGUUUGGUGAGGAGGGUUUACUGUGAGGGACAUGAGUGAGGAGUAAUUUACAGGCGCUGAACCAACUCAGAGACAGCUCCCUUGCCAAAGAACAGCUAAGCACGGCUGUCACCUCACCAAACUGGAAACCUGCAGCAUGCUGCCUAGCCCGCAGGCAACUCAACAGGUUGAAGAGUGUCCUCGCCAAGUGACUCAGUUGAUCUAAACCUCUUCCGGGAAGCUUGGUAGGGUUCUGUUUCUUUUCAGAAGCUGCUCCGGUCUCAGAGUCUUCUUUGCAGUUUUGCUGUCUUUAUUAUUCUGUGGAAAGGAGGGGCCUAGUGAAUCUAGUCUGUUUCAUGAACUUCCUAAAGGUGUUUUUGAGUUGUUUCCCUACUGUCUUAAGGAGCUUCCCUGGACAAUGGGAUGUUCCAGUGAAGGAGGAACCUGCUACACAACAGCGCCUAACGAUCUUGUUGGCUCCCAGACUCCUUAGUAACCCUGUCAAGAUUCAGAGUCAUAGGAAUAGAUGAUGAAAAAUGAGAUCUUCUUUGAGGUGAGGAAACAUCUCCCCUGUCCCUGUACUAGUUACUUUCCUCAUCGCUGUGACAAAAAAGCUGACUGAAACAACUUCAGAGAAGGAAGGCUUGUCUUAGUGGUGGCUUUGGAACCAGUCAUGGUUGGGUGGGCAUGGCAAAAUGGAGUGGUUUACAUAAUGGCCAGCCAGACUGCAGAGCAGUCGCCUAGGUGGCUCUCAGUGAGGUCAGGUUCAAAGGGAAGAUUAACUGCCACAGUACUGUCUCCUCUUCAGGACGUGGUAAAGCCUAGGAUGGGGCAGAAGGAGAAGCGUGAGUUAGUGGAGUGACGCAAGCUGCCGUCAGAGUAACAGGAAAACUUCCACAGUAGCAAAAGGAGAAGACAAUCCAAAACUCCACUAGGGACACAACAGCCGUUGCUCCUUCUAUGGUAAACUCAGAUCGGCACAUCAGGCUUUGGAAGAGGUGUCCCUCCAUCACAGAAACCACCAAAGUGCCAGUCACUUCUCAGGAAGGGAGCCAACUGCCCAUCUUCACUCCUCUUUUAUCUAUCAGACUCCACACUGCUGAAUAGGUGUUCCGGGUAGGUAACUGGCAUCUCACGGGAGGGGCUUAUGGAGACGUGACUUAAAGGUUCUUCAUGCUGACACUACCUCUGUGUCAUUCCCUUCCACCAAAUAGAGAUUGAGGGAAGAACUCAUUCCAGACGUGAGGGGAGCCAUGGAUCAAAGCCUUGUGUGAGAGAGUGCAAACAAGCAUGUGUUUACUCAGGCAGUCCAAAAUCAAAAGAUGAUUCCCACUCACCCAUCAUCCAUCGUCCAUCUAAAUGCAAAAGGUGGAGUGCCACAUGUCCUCCUGGAAAGAUCCCAGGGUCAAGAACAACCUUCAUUUAAAAAUAGUCUGGGACUUCUUAAACUGUAUCCCUCAACACUCUAGUUUGUAGCUUGCAGCUGGAUAUUUAUGUUGGAAACCAAACAACUAUCAUCCCAUAUAGGUUUUGCUUGCUAGGAAACUAUAAAAUCCUAAGACAGAAAAACACGAAGUCAUGUACAUCGUUGUUUUUAACAGAGCAAGAUGUAGUAUGAUUGCAUCAGAAUGUUCAGGAAAACGCAUUCACUGUGUGCUGAGCACCUCCCACGUGCUAAAUAAAUACUUGUUGACUGAAUGUUUGGUGUUUUGCUUUAUGGGAAGAAAGUGCCUUUCAGUGAGGACAGUGUGUGCACUUGAAAUUUCAGGAGCUUGAAGAAACAGUUCAAUGCCAAGAUAUUUUGAAAUGGCAGUAUCAGACACAUUGCUCGUGCCUUGGCUACUGAUAAAGCACACAGCAAAGGCAGUGAAAGGCCUAGGUCUCUGGAGAACACUCAACUUCUGAUAAGUUUGUUUUUGUGAAUGCAGGUAAAGAUAAAAAGCGGCAGAACUAGUUUAUUCUGCUCCUUUGGCCCAGAAGUAGGGGUUUUAAUAGACUUUUGUUUUGCUACAGGACUCUUUUCAUGGGGGAUAGAACCAAACGGUAGAGUGUCUUCCCUGCCAUGUGCAAGGCCCUGAGUUCUAUCUCCACCAAGGCACUGUAAAAAAUAAAAUGAAAUAUUAUUACAUGAAAAUAAUGCCUGGUAAGUUUUGGCACAAGCUCUCAUGCUAACAUUUACAGUUGCAUGUGAUCAAGGACAGGAAGGGACAGUUUCCCUUUAGGAUUGCUACAGAAAUUUGUUAUGGUAUGGUUAAAGGGCCUGUUAAAAUAUCGAUAUCAAAUAAAUGAUAAUUGCUGUUACAAUUGUUUAAAAUGAUUUCGAGAUGUUUAAGAGGACAAAAUGUAGGACAGUCAUAACAUAAAAAUGUAUGUUACUGCACAAAUACUCACACACUUACAUAUUCACACCCACACAAAGACAUAGUCAUACUCCAAACUCACACACAUAUUCACACACUUGUACUUACACACACACACACACACACACACACACACUCACGCACACACACGCAUGCACACCACAUGGUUAAGGCAAAUCCACUCACGAUUACUUCAGUAUGCCUGCCUUUCUUAAACAGAAGAGUGUACAGCUCACUUUGUUUAAUACGUCAAGGGAAAAGAAAACUGCAGAUAAACUUUCCUAGUUAUACUUGAGUGGUAAACCUCCACUUUUCUCAUCAGUGUUGAAGAAAUGCAUGCUUUCUAGUCCUUGGACACUAAUAAAGUCUGAAGGCUUAAUAAAGUAAGUGUUUUGUGUAAUAAGUGGCUUUAAAUCUAACUAUUUCCAUUCAUAAAUACGUUCAUGGUUUCAUAUAACAAUAUAGUUGUAGAACAAUACAAGUGACUUAUGUAAAUGCUUCCAAAGGUGCACAGACAGACUUUUCAAGUUCCAUCAUGCAAUGCUGACCCCUCCCUUUCCCCCACUGAUUUUCCUCUUCUCCAUGUUACUCUGGGUAGGUCCUCACACAGACCCAGCCACCCAGAGGGCUGUCCUCCAGGAAGACCCUCUCAUAAUCUCGCCCCUACCCUCUGCCUUUUCUACAUAGGUCACCUUUCCUUCUGCUUUUGCACUCAACUCCACCUGAGGCAACUUGUCACUGUGCACUGCUGUUGUCACUUCUAGUAAUUUUGACAUCUUUUGAAUUUCCUCUUUCAGCAUUUACUCAACUGUUAUAAACACACAUGUACACACACACACACACACACAGAGAGAGAGAGAGAGAGAGAGAGAGAGAGAGAGAGAGAGAGAGAAGAGACUGUGCAUUCCUUCACGAUGUCUCAGCCCUUCUCAGUGCUUCCCUUUUUAGAAUGAACUAAGAAAAUAAGGCAAACCUUUUUAAUUAGCAGGUUAGCAUAGGAUAGAUUGCUGGAAGCCUCUUGGACCUCCAUCUUCCCUACUUCUAAAGAGGACAAUGAGCUGAACCACUUGAAGGAAGGAAGGAAGGAAAGAAGGAAGGAAGGAAAGAAGGAAGGAAGGAAGGAAAGAAGGAAGGAAGGAAGGACAAAGGAGUGAAGGACAAAAGAAGGAAGGAAGGAGGGAGGGAGAAGGAAGGAAGGAGGGAGGGAGAAGGAAGGAAGGAAAGAAAGUUUAAAGAACCAGUUCUGAGAAGCAGUUUGACUGAGGAUAUAUGAGUUUAUAGCUCAGCUUCUCCAUUCCCAGCCUACUAACUGCCUUAACUGUGUCUCCUGUGUGCACUCACUGGGACACACAUGUGCAUGCAUACACACACACACACACACACACACACACUCACAUAUACACAUAUACUCACACACAAUCACACACUCACAUAUACACACUCAUACACACACCACAGCUGACACACUCACACCCUCACAGCCACACAUAUACACACCACACUCACACACAUACACAUACUCAUAAUCACACACAUAUACACACUCAUGCAUAUACACUCAUGCACUCACACCCAAUAGCAUAAAGUAGAUGGAAGAUUCCAUAGGUAAGAAGGCAUCUAAGUAUGAGGGAUGGGUAGGAAAGAAAAACAAAUAUUACAUGUCUCUCCUCAUCUGAAAGAGAACCUAUAGUCUCAUGUAGAACAGUCACUACAGGAGAAAGGGAAGCAGAUAGAGUGUGGAGGAAGACGAGAGUAACAGAGAGCUCUUCUGAGAGAGAGCCAAUAUAAAAUGAUACAUUCUAUCAAAGUAUCACGAUGAAACCCACUGUGCUGAGUGGCGAUGAAAAUAAAGUAAUUUAAAAUUACAAGUUAUCCAGCCACGGUGGUGCGCCUGCUUAAUCCCAGCACUUGAGAGGCAGAGGUGGGUGAAUCUCUGUGAGUUUGGAGCCAGUCUGGUCUACAGAGAGAGUUACACAGGGCUACACAGAGAAAACCUGCCUUAAAAAACAUGACAGACAGGGGUUGGGGAUUUAGCUCAGUGGUAGAGCGCUUGCCUAGCAAGUGCAAGGCCCUGGGUUCGGUCCCCAGCUCUGAAAAAAAGAAAAGAAAAAAAAAACACGACAGACAGACAGCUAUAGA